CCCAUACACCAAAAGGAGAGGGAAAAGGAUGUGAACAUUACAAUGACAAAAAGCACAUCACCUCACUUAUUAUAGUUCCAAGUUAGGAAUCUGUAAUGAUAUGAACAUAAAACAAUGAGGAAGUAGGUUGUUUAUAUAAAAAAAAUAAAAAAAAUAGUCCAGCGAAUUAAAACUUUUACAGCUCAUGAGAAAUUAACGAGUGCAACAUAUUGAUUUAUUCAGAUACAAGAACAGAAGACAUGUAAACAGAUUAAGCCCUUGUUUGAGCUCCAUUUUCAAAAAUCUAUUUUUCUCCAUACUCAUUUUUAACCACACAUUCUCUAAUAAGAAAAUUUUACACGUCAACCCAAAAAUUUUCCCCACUUUUUAAUCACGCAUUCUUCAAAAAAUAACUAUUUCAAGAUCUACUUUCCCCAAAUAAUGGAUCUCAAACAAGGUCUAUGCCAAAACUUAAGAGAAUGAUUUUGCAUUCCUAACAUGGCAAUCUUGCCAUUUGACCUCACUCACAUAUCACCACAGAAUCUAUAAAGUAAACCGUCCAUAAUACAAAAUUCACUUAGAUGAAUUUUCAGUUACCUACUAAUUAGUUGAGUGACCCAAAAGAUGGGCACACAAGAAUUUGUAUGCUGUUUAGUAUUUGUCAAAUAUAGUUCCCUUUGGUGUCUAUAUGGAUAAUGCUCCCUUUAUCGCAUAACAUUUAGAAUCCAGUAAAUUUCUCUCUUCUUUCUAAUUAUACAUUAUAACAUUAUUAAUUUGGCACCACCUUCUGCUCUAUGGAAUAAAAUUGGAGCAUAAUACAUCACAUUUGAAUAGUUGGAGAAAGGAAAUUAUAAGAUUGAGCAGAAUAUGAGCAGAUAAGAGGGAAAAAGGUAAAAUACUUACCUUUUAGAAACAUUUAUUGCCAUUUCAUUUCAAAU
rnacentral:lncRNA from 1 species